ACAACCAUAUCAUGUUGAACUACUGGUUUCCAUAUGAUCACUGAAGUUAAGCAAGAUUAAACCUGGUCAGUACCUAGAUGGGUAACCACUUAGGAAUAUGUGGUGCUGUAAG